rnacentral:lncRNA from 1 species
GCAUUUAAGUGACAUCUUCACAAGCGGCCUGGGGAGCAGGCUCCUCUGCCCACCCUGAAGGAUUCCUUACCCUCCCGUGGCAUCUACAGAACUAGCAGAGGUGGAGCCCAGAGCGAAUGCACCAGAUGGGAGUUUAUACGGCUGCGACACCAAUUUUAGGCAUGUGAUUCCUUCUGGACUAGAAGGGGAGAUGGGACAAAAGCAAGGACAGGCUUGGGGACUUCAGGUAUAGACGUGACACUUGCCUUCUGAGGACAGAUGUGUACACAGUAUAUCCUUGCAGUUUUUCUUAAUUAUGAAGUGUUUCGAUGAGAAGGUUUAAGAUGAAGUACACUUACUUAUCUUUGACCAACGGAUC